rnacentral:sRNA from 1 species
UACCGUGCGCUGGAUUAUGAC